rnacentral:misc_RNA from 1 species
UGGCAUUUGGCGGUAACCCCUCUUCCUGACCUCCCUUCUCGUUUUUUCAUCGCCAUUCACCCGCGUCGUUGCUUCUCACCCUGCAUCCUCGUCGACGCGUCGCGCAGAACCGUUCGCGUAGCGCGCCUCACUCCUCCGUGCAUCCUUCCCUUCGGUUUAUCGGUGCGCACCAGCCCAGCCCAGCGCAGCCCCGCCCCGCCUUCGGACGCGCGCAUCUAUCUGCGGGACGGGCCGCCGUGAGCUGAGCAUACCACCAUGCACAGUGCUGUCACUUGCAUCAAGAGCCCGGGCGCGGCUCUCUUCACCGACACUGCCACCUGCCGCACCAUCACGUUGAGCCGGCCCGAUGCGUUGAACGCCAUGUCGUUGCCGAUGGUGCAGGACCUGCAUCGCCUGUACAUCACAGAGCCGCACCCGAACGAGGAUGCCGUGUACGUUGUGCGCGGUGACGGGCGGCGCAGCUUCUGUGCUGGUGGCGACCUGAAGGCCCUCACAGGACCCGAGAAAGACACGCACAACCCGCUGUUCUACCGCCUGGAGUACGAGGUGGACUCGCACAUUGCGGUGAUGCGGCGCACGCAGGUGACGAUGUGGGCGGGGCACGUGCUGGGGAGCGGCGUGGGCGUGUCGGUGCACAGCCGUUACCGCGUUGCGUGCGAGACGACGCGGUUCGCGAUGCCGGAGACGCAGAUCGGCGGCGCGAACGACGUUGCGACGAGCUGGGUGUUCUCGUCGCUGCCGAUAUGCGGGCUUGGCAUGUACCUUGCGAUCACGGGCAACACGCUGCAAGGCGCGGACGUGUUCCACGCGGGCCUGGCGACGCACUACAUCCCUGUGGAGAAGUUCGGCGCUGUGGAGGCUGCGCUGGCGGCGCUGCCGUCGUCGGAGGGCGUCGAGGAGUGCCUCCGAGGGUUCAGCGAGGACGUUGCUGUGCCGCCGUUCACGCUGGCGGAGAACGCGCCUGUGCUGGCGAAGGCGUUCGGCGCGAUCACUCCGUCGACGCACCUGCGCGACAUCAUGGAUGUGCUGCGCGCGGACGGCAGCGCGUUCGCUGCGAGCACGCUGAAGGUGAUGGAGCGCAACUCGCCGCUGGGCAUGACGCUUGCGCUGGAGAACAUGAAGCGGCAGCACACACCUGGGUGCAACACCGUGAUGGAGAGCUUCCGUGGCGACUACACGGCGAUUCAGACUUCCAUUUGUGUGGAUGAGCUGGCGAAGGGCGUGGAGGCGCUGUUUGUCACGAAGGAGAAGCGCCCGCAGUGGACGGUGGGGUCCGUGGACGAAGUCGAUGUGGAGCUCGUGAAGCAGCAGUUUGUUAUGACGGAGAGCACGGUGCCCUUGUAGGAAAGGCUCGUCUCACAUAUUCGCGGCUCUGUAGGCGUCGACCUUUCUUUGCCACGAGUGCUGUGCCGGCGCCUUGAUGCCGCAUUGUGCGUGUACACGUGUGGAGUGUGACUGUGGGCGUGUUGGCACUGCAGAAGGUAAAGGACGGUCUUGCUUACGGGGGACCUGCGGCCGGCUCGGCGUGUGCGUUUCCGUUUCAGCUUGCGGGCGCGAGGCCGCGGUUGUGGGGUGUUCACACGCUACCUCUUCUGUGCUUUUUUUUUUCGUAUUCGGUGCAUAUGGGCUAAGCCACCUCCGCACAGUCUACAGCUUAGUGUGUGUAUGCGCUUGGUUUUGUUUUCACGUCUUCGAGUUUAUUGGAUCGGUUGUGGCUGGGCUCUUGUUUCCGGAGAGGAUGCCCUCGCCGAGGGUUAAGGGCACCGCUUCCCACAGAGGGAUGAUGUGCGUCUCAUUUUUGUUCACCGGCUUCCGCUUGGCCUCUUCUGCGCUGUCGCUCACUUCCGCACCCUCUCCCCCAUCUCUCCUGUCCUCCUGCACCCUCCAGUUAUGCUUCGCGUGCGCGCACUGCGGUAGAGUGUGAAGGGUACGCGCAUGCGUGCGAGCCGAAGAGCUGGAGGGAAGGGGGAGCAAGUGAGAAGGAUGGCAGAUGAAGUGGGUAGGGCGCGAGGCGAGGAGUGCUAAGCGUCCAGGCGUCCUUUGUUUUUGUUUUUUACUUUGUGCUUGUGCUUUUCUUCUUUCCGCUAGGGCAUUCAUCCGCUAUACUUCUCCGCGUCAGACGCCGCCCUCGCCUUCUUUUCGUGUUUUGGAAUGCAGUCACGGACAUCUGCAUGCCACACAUCUCCGCGCGCACGAGCGCGCGCACAUAUAAAAUGAUCCGCACGACUGCUGGCGUGCAGGCUUGCGGUGUACUCUUUUCUCUCCGCCUUUUCUCAGGUCUUCCCCUCUUCCCCUCUUCCUGUCUUGCCUUCGAUGCAUCUUUCUCUUUUUGGGCCUCUCGUUUUAACUUGCUCUCUUUGUCUUUAUAUUUGUUUCUCUCCCCGGCUACUCCCCCUCUCGCUCCCUUGCUCGCACGGCGUCGAUGUCCUGGUGCCGUGGUGUGGCAGGUGGCCACGCCUGUUCAUCGGCCUCAGCAAAUAGCUUCCUCGCCUAUCCCUAGUUUUCCCCAUCUCGCUAUCCACGGCAGAACCACCACCUCCCUCCCCCUUACCGAUGUCUGCGGCGGUGGAGAGGUGGUAAAAUGAGGGGCAAAAAGGCAGAACAACAAAUGCGUACGUGGCACAAGGAUGAUGAUGUGGUGGUGGGUCUCGCACCGCGAGUGCAGCGCUGCGUCUCUCUCUCUCUGAAGCUUUUUAACCGACUUUUUCCUGUCACUUUUACGUCUUGUACUCUCUCGUUGUGCACGCAG